rnacentral:ncRNA from 1 species
CGACCCCAGGUCAGGCAGGACUACCCGCUGAGUUUAAGCAUAUAAAUAAGCGGAGGAGAAGAAACUUACAAGGAUUCCCCUAGUAACGGCGAGCGAACCGGGAGCAGCCCAGCUUGAGAAUCGGGCGGCUGUGCCGUNCUUGAGAAUCGGGCGGCUGUGCCGUCCGAAUUGUAGUCUGGAGAGGCAUCCUCAGCGACGGACCGGGCCCAAGUCCCCUGGAAAGGGGCGCCUGGGAGGGUGAGAGCCCUGUCCGGCCCGGACCCUGUCGCCCCACGAGGCGCCGUCAAUGAGUCGGGUUGUUUGGGAAUGCAGCCCAAAUCGGGCGGUAGACUCCGUCCAAGGCUAAAUACAGGCGAGAGACCGAUAGCGAACAAGUACCGCGAGGGAAAGAUGAAAAGGACUUUGAAAAGAGAGUCAAAGAGUGCUUGAAAUUGCCGGGAGGGAAGCAGAUGGGGGCUGGCGAUGCGCCCCGGCCGUAUGCGGAACGGCUCUUGCUGGUCCGCCGCUCGGCUCGGGGUGUGGACUGUUGUCGGCCGCGCCGGCGGCCAAAGGCCGGGGGCCCUAGGUGCCCCCGGUGGCCGUCGUCGGCACGGCCGGUACCCGCGCGCCGAAAGGCGUGUCCCUCGGGGAACUGCGCUGCAACGGCCUGCGGGCUCCCCAUCCGACCCGUCUUGAAACACGGACCAAGGAGUAUGAUAUGCGUGCGAGUCGACGGGUUCUGAAACCUGGGAUGCGCAAGGAAGCUGACGAGCGGGAGGCCCUCACGGGCCGCACCGCUGGCCGACCCUGAUCUUCUGUGAAGGGUUCGAGUUGGAGCACGCCUGUCGGGACCCGAAAGAUGUUGAACUAUGCCUGAGCGGGGCGAAGCCAGAGGAAACUCUGGUGGAGGCUCGAAGCGAUACUGACGUGCAAAUCGUUCGUCUGACUUGGGUAUAGGGGCGAAAGACUAAUCGAACCAUCUAGUAGCUAGUUCCCUCCGAAGUUUCCCUCAGGAUAGCUGGAGCCCAUUACGAGUUCUAUCAGGUAAAGCCAAUGAUUAGAGGCAUUGGGGACGCAACAUCCUCGACCUAUUCUCAAACUUUAAAUAGGUAGGAUGGCGCGGCUGCUUCGGUGAGCCGUGCCAUGGAAUCGGGUGCUCCAAGUGGGCCAUUUUUGGUAAGCAGAACUG